AGGGGGGUGACCUAGUUGCCAUAUCUGUGUCCCCACUGAUUGUGAGAUCUGAUCUGGCUGGCUUGGCUGGCUAGGUGAGCGUCCCUUUCCUCCAGGAUGUCUUUGUCUGAUAGCAGAGGACUGAGUGUUCUUUGGUCAAGGAUCUAUGAGAAGCAUCAUUCCCCUGUUAGACCCUGCAAACAAGCCCUCAAAAGCCCCACAGCAAACAACAUAAGUAGCAGAAGUAGUAAAAGCUUCAACCCCAUAAUGAGACCAAGAAAGGAUGAUUCCUCUUCUU
rnacentral:snRNA from 1 species